rnacentral:snRNA from 1 species
CAGGAGGUCACCCAUCCUAG